AACGCUAGCUACAGGCUUAACACAUGCAAGUCGAGGGGCAGCAUGGUCUUAGCUUGCUAAGGCCGAUGGCGACCGGCGCACGGGUGAGUAACACGUAUCCAACCUGCCGUCUACUCUUGGACAGCCUUCUGAAAGGAAGAUUAAUACAAGAUGGCAUCAUGAGUCCGCAUGUUCACAUGAUUAAAGGUAUUCCGGUAGACGAUGGGGAUGCGUUCCAUUAGAUAGUAGGCGGGGUAACGGCCCACCUAGUCUUCGAUGAAUAGGGGUUCUGAGAGGAAGGUCCCCCACAUUGGAACUGAGACACGGUCCAAACUCCUACGGGAGGCAGCAGUGAGGAAUAUUGGUCAAUGGGCGAGAGCCUGAACCAGCCAAGUAGCGUGAAGGAUGACUGCCCUAUGGGUUGUAAACUUCUUUUAUAAAGGAAUAAAGUCGGGUAUGGAUACCCGUUUGCAUGUACUUUAUGAAUAAGGAUCGGCUAACUCCGUGCCAGCAGCCGCGGUAAUACGGAGGAUCCGAGCGUUAUCCGGAUUUAUUGGGUUUAAAGGGAGCGUAGAUGGAUGUUUAAGUCAGUUGUGAAAGUUUGCGGCUCAACCGUAAAAUUGCAGUUGAUACUGGAUAUCUUGAGUGCAGUUGAGGCAGGCGGAAUUCGUGGUGUAGCGGUGAAAUGCUUAGAUAUCACGAAGAACUCCGAUUGCGAAGGCAGCCUGCUAAGCUGCAACUGACAUUGAGGCUCGAAAGUGUGGGUAUCAAACAGGAUUAGAUACCCUGGUAGUCCACACGGUAAACGAUGAAUACUCGCUGUUUGCGAUAUACUGCAAGCGGCCAAGCGAAAGCGUUAAGUAUUCCACCUGGGGAGUACGCCGGCAACGGUGAAACUCAAAGGAAUUGACGGGGGCCCGCACAAGCGGAGGAACAUGUGGUUUAAUUCGAUGAUACGCGAGGAACCUUACCCGGGCUUAAAUUGCAGAUGAAUUACGGUGAAAGCCGUAAGCCGCAAGGCAUCUGUGAAGGUGCUGCAUGGUUGUCGUCAGCUCGUGCCGUGAGGUGCCGGCUUAAGUGCCAUAACGAGCGCAACCCUUGUUGUCAGUUACUAACAGGUUCCGCUGAGGACUCUGACAAGACUGCCAUCGUAAGAUGUGAGGAAGGUGGGGAUGACGUCAAAUCAGCACGGCCCUUACGUCCGGGGCUACACACGUGUUACAAUGGGGGGUACAGAGGGCCGCUACCACGCGAGUGGAUGCCAAUCCCCAAAACCUCUCUCAGUUCGGACUGGAGUCUGCAACCCGACUCCACGAAGCUGGAUUCGCUAGUAAUCGCGCAUCAGCCACGGCGCGGUGAAUACGUUCCCGGGCCUUGUACACACCGCCCGUCAAGCCAUGGGAGCCGGGGGUACCUGAAGUGCGUAACCGCGAGGAGCGCCCUAGGGUAAAACUGGUGACUGGG
rnacentral:rRNA from 1 species